UACAACACAUCAAACAUGCAUAUCCAACACACAUUGUCCAUAUAAUCACAUAAAACCUAACAAAGCUCAACUAACUUAAACAUGCCUUUCUACCCCAUGAAUCAACUUAAAACUUGUUUAAAACAUACCAUAAGCUCAAGAUCGGCUCUUACCUCUUGAAGAUCGAGAGAGAGACGACCUAAACUUGGAGAACCAAGGAAAAGAGCUCCUGAGUCUUCCAAGCCUCAAACUUGCUUUAAUGCCCAAAAAUCUUC
rnacentral:lncRNA from 1 species